UAACCUCUGACGAAACUCGUGUAAGUUA
rfam:Flagellimonas sp. DK169 scf7180000000004, whole genome shotgun sequence.